rnacentral:rRNA from 1 species
AUGAACGCUAGCUACAGGCUUAACACAUGCAAGUCGAGGGGCAGCAUGGUCUUAGCUUGCUAAGGCCGAUGGCGACCGGCGCACGGGUGAGUAACACGUAUCCAACCUGCCGUCUACUCUUGGACAGCCUUCUGAAAGGAAGAUUAAUACAAGAUGGCAUCAUGAGUCCGCAUGUUCACAUGAUUAAAGGUAUUCCGGUAGACGAUGGGGAUGCGUUCCAUUAGAUAGUAGGCGGGGUAACGGCCCACCUAGUCUUCGAUGGAUAGGGGUUCUGAGAGGAAGGUCCCCCACAUUGGAACUGAGACACGGUCCAAACUCCUACGGGAGGCAGCAGUGAGGAAUAUUGGUCAAUGGGCGAGAGCCUGAACCAGCCAAGUAGCGUGAAGGAUGACUGCCCUAUGGGUUGUAAACUUCUUUUAUAAAGGAAUAAAGUCGGGUAUGGAUACCCGUUUGCAUGUACUUUAUGAAUAAGGAUCGGCUAACUCCGUGCCAGCAGCCGCGGUAAUACGGAGGAUCCGAGCGUUAUCCGGAUUUGUUGGGUUUAAAGGGAGCGUAGAUGGAUGUUUAAGUCAGUUGUGAAAGUUUGCGGCUCAACCGUAAAAUUGCAGUUGAUACUGGAUAUCUUGAGUGCAGUUGAGGCAGGCGGAAUUCGUGGUGUAGCGGUGAAAUGCUUAGAUAUCACGAAGAACUCCGAUUGCGAAGGCAGCCUGCUAAGCUGCAACUGACAUUGAGGCUCGAAAGUGUGGGUAUCAAACAGGAUUAGAUACCCUGGUAGUCCACACGGUAAACGAUGAAUACUCGCUGUUUGCGAUAUACGGCAAGCGGCCAAGCGAAAGCGUUAAGUAUUCCACCUGGGGAGUACGCCGGCAACGGUGAAACUCAAAGGAAUUGACGGGGGCCCGCACAAGCGGAGGAACAUGUGGUUUAAUUCGAUGAUACGCGAGGAACCUUACCCGGGCUUAAAUUGCAGAUGAAUUACGGUGAAAGCCGUAAGCCGCAAGGCAUCUGUGAAGGUGCUGCAUGGUUGUCGUCAGCUCGUGCCGUGAGGUGUCGGCUUAAGUGCCAUAACGAGCGCAACCCUUGUUGUCAGUUACUAACAGGUUCCGCUGAGGACUCUGACAAGACUGCCAUCGUAAGAUGUGAGGAAGGUGGGGAUGACGUCAAAUCAGCACGGCCCUUACGUCCGGGGCUACACACGUGUUACAAUGGGGGGUACAGAGGGCCGCUACCACGCGAGUGGAUGCCAAUCCCCAAAACCUCUCUCAGUUCGGACUGGAGUCUGCAACCCGACUCCACGAAGCUGGAUUCGCUAGUAAUCGCGCAUCAGCCACGGCGCGGUGAAUACGUUCCCGGGCCUUGUACACACCGCCCGUCAAGCCAUGGGAGCCGGGGGUACCUGAAGUGCGUAACCGCGAGGAGCGCCCUAGGGUAAAACUGGUGACUGGGGCU